rnacentral:tRNA from 1 species
AGGCGAUUAGCUCAAAUGGUAGAGCGCAUCCCUGUGGAGGAUGAGGUUGCGGACUCGAAAUCCGUAUCGUCAG